rnacentral:rRNA from 1 species
UUUGUAUAAUGGGUCAGCGACUUAUAUUCAGUGGCAAGGUUAACCAUCUAGGGGAGCCGUAGGGAAACCGAGUCUUAACUGGGCGUUCAGUCUCUGGAUAUAGACCCGAAACCAGGUGAUCUAGCCAUGGGCAGGUUGAAGGUUGAGUAACAUCAACUGGAGGACCGAACCGACUAAUGUUGAAAAAUUAGCGGAUGACUUGUGGCUAGGGGUGAAAGGCCAAUCAAACCUGGAGAUAGCUGGUUCUCCCCGAAAGCUAUUUAGGUAGCGCCUCGGACGAAUACUACUGGGGGUAGAGCACUGUUAAGGCUAGGGGGUCAUCCCGACUUACCAACCCUUUGCAAACUCCGAAUACCAGUAAGUACUAUCCGGGAGACACACGGCGGGUGCUAACGUCCGUCGUGGAGAGGGAAACAACCCAGACCGCCAGCUAAGGUCCCAAAUUACUACUAAGUGGGAAACGAUGUGGGAAGGCUCAGACAGCCAGGAUGUUGGCUUAGAAGCAGCCAUCAUUUAAAGAAAGCGUAAUAGCUCACUGGUCGAGUCGGCCUGCGCGGAAGAUGUAACGGGGCUAAGUAGUAAACCGAAGCUGCGGCAAUGUGCUUUUGCACAUUGGGUAGGGGAGCGUUCUGUAAGCGGUUGAAGGUGUGUGGUAACGCAUGCUGGACGUAUCAGAAGUGCGAAUGCUGACAUGAGUAACGAUAAAGGGGGUGAAAAACCUCCUCGCCGGAAGACCAAGGGUUCCUGUCCAACGUUAAUCGGGGCAGGGUAAGUCGACCCCUAAGGCGAGGCCGAAAGGCGUAGUCGAUGGGAAACGGGUUAAUAUUCCCGUACUUCUUACAAUUGCGAUGGGGGGACGGAGAAGGCUAGGUGGGCCUGGCGACGGUUGUCCAGGUUCAAGUGCGUAGGCUUAAGA